rnacentral:lncRNA from 1 species
AAAAAAUUAAAAAUAAAAAUAAAAAAAGGUGGUCUCAGCUGCUGUUAUGUAACUUGCUGUUUUUCUGGAGAUAAGAACUCAAUAGCCCUCAGUAAGGGGAUAAAAACCAGCUGUGGUCACUGGAAGCCAAAAUAGAUAUGUAUACCCCUGUCCUGGAGGAAUGGGAUUGAUGGCAGCAAUGAAUACCACUUGGCAUCUCACAGCCCAACACAAAUACUUGCAGUGAGUAAUUUUAGCUUUUUCUGUACUCCCUGUUCUGGGCAGAGUUGUUGCUUCCUCCUCUGAGAAGUGGACAUCAGCAUGGAAGGGGCACGAAUGGUUCGUUUCAGUGGAUUCUUGUUGUGUGAAGACCUCAGAAAAACUGCCAACUCCUAAGAUGAAGAGAUGGCCGUAAAAAGAAGCAAUGGUUCAUGCAAGAAGAAAGGUUUACUUUCACUGUAGUGCAUCAGCCUGUGUCUCAGCUACUAUGAAACCCUCCACACCUCACUAACCUUCUGAGAGGUAGAGGGGAAAAAAAAGGGAAGUGGAACACUACGAUGUGAGGAGCCGGAGUUAUGACACGAGUACCUGCAGAUUUCCACAGCUCUGGAACAAAACAAAACAUUUAACAAGAUUCAUGAUCCCAACUGAAUGGAAGGACCUUGAGUGUAGUCUAGGUGAGAAGAGAAAGAGACUGGCUGAUAGAGGACAAAUAUAGUUGACAACAGGCAUGCCGCACUGGAGACUGUAAUGGAAAAAGAGGCAGAGGAUGGAGUAGCAAAAUAAUCAACCAAUAUGGAGGUAAGAAAAAGGACAGACAUAGCUGGGGACACAUCCACAGUGAAAACUGAGAGAAAACAGAAAAAUUUGCAGCAGAUAAAUUAGGAAAUGAGGACAGCACUCUGUCACUAGUCCCAAAGGCUUGCUCUAUUUUCCAAGGGAUGCUUUAAUUUCUCAGUCCACUCACCUCUCAGAGUGAGGCUACAG